rnacentral:rRNA from 1 species
AUGAAGCCUGUCUUUGGUAAUGAUUAUAAGUUCACGGAUGAGGACAUAGAGACAGCCGUUUACAUCCGCGGAACAUAUGACCCUAUUGAAAUAGCUAAAAUCGGAGACAUUUCCCUCACAGCAGAAAAUCUGAAGCGAAAUUUGGACGACAAAUACAUUUAUGGUGAUGUUAUUAUGGCAUAUGCUCGCAUUAGCCAAAUUGAGAAUGAUACUACCUCAAUCAUAUCCCCUCAAGAAACCGAAAAGCUGUUACAAAUGAAGGGGGUGGUUUCUGUUGGACGUGCAGCCUCAUGGUUAGCUCGUGUAGCAGGAAAAUUUGUAGGGCGCCGAAAGGUGCAUGUCCCACUCAAUGUACACCAAAACCAUUGGAUGCUAAUGAUGUUUAAUUUUGACAAAAAAGAAAUUCAGACUCUGAACUCCAUGAAUUAUCAUUGCGACAAGACCAAGGAAGAUUCUCUUUUCUGCAUUGACGAAGCUGUCAAGAAUGGGUUGAUAUCACCAGCUAAUAACAUCAAUUUUGCCAAAUGGACCAAAAAACGCUAUGAGAACAUACCACAACAGACCGAUGGGACUUCCUGUGCGGUUUGGACACUGCAAUACAUGUUGUCAUGGAACAGGGAUGAAAUGACCGAUAUUUUGAACUAG